rnacentral:rRNA from 1 species
UGGGGAAUAUUGCGCAAUGGGCGAAAGCCUGACGCAGCGACGCCGCGUGAGGGAUGAAGGUUUUCGGAUCGUAAACCUCUGUCAGAAGGGAAGAAGUUGCAUGGGGCCAAUCACCUGUGCAUUGACGGUACCUUCAAAGGAAGCACCGGCUAACUCCGUGCCAGCAGCCGCGGUAAUACGGAGGGUGCGAGCGUUAAUCGGAAUUACUGGGCGUAAAGCGCACGUAGGCUGUAUGUCAAGUCAAGGGUGAAAUCCCACGGCUCAACCGUGGAACUGCCUUUGAAACUGGCAAACUGGAGUAUGUGAGAGGGCGGCGGAAUUCCUGGUGUAGGAGUGAAAUCCGUAGAUAUCAGGAGGAACAUCAGUGGCGAAGGCGGCCGCCUGGCACAAAACUGACGCU